UGGACGCUGCUUACCUGCAGUCGAACGGCAGCGGGGGUAGCUUGCUACCUGCCGGCGAGUGGCGAACGGGUGAGUAAUACAUCGGAACGUGCCCUGUAGUGGGGGAUAACUAGUCGAAAGACUAGCUAAUACCGCAUACGACCUGAGGGUGAAAGUGGGGGACCGCAAGGCCUCAUGCUAUAGGAGCGGCCGAUGUCUGAUUAGCUAGUUGGUGGGGUAAAGGCCCACCAAGGCGACGAUCAGUAGCUGGUCUGAGAGGACGAUCAGCCACACUGGGACUGAGACACGGCCCAGACUCCUACGGGAGGCAGCAGUGGGGAAUUUUGGACAAUGGGGGCAACCCUGAUCCAGCAAUGCCGCGUGUGUGAAGAAGGCCUUCGGGUUGUAAAGCACUUUUGUCCGGAAAGAAAUCGCACUGGUUAAUACCUGGUGUGGAUGACGGUACCGGAAGAAUAAGGACCGGCUAACUACGUGCCAGCAGCCGCGGUAAUACGUAGGGUCCAAGCGUUAAUCGGAAUUACUGGGCGUAAAGCGUGCGCAGGCGGUUGUGCAAGACCGAUGUGAAAUCCCCGGGCUUAACCUGGGAAUUGCAUUGGUGACUGCACGGCUAGAGUGUGUCAGAGGGAGGUAGAAUUCCACGUGUAGCAGUGAAAUGCGUAGAGAUGUGGAGGAAUACCGAUGGCGAAGGCAGCCUCCUGGGAUAACACUGACGCUCAUGCACGAAAGCGUGGGGGAGCAAACAGGAUUAGAUACCCCUGGUAGUCCACGCCCUAAACGAUGUCCACCUAGUUGUUGGGGGAUUCAUUUCCUUAGUAACCGUAACCUAACCGCCGUGAAGUUGACCGCCCUGGGGGAGUACCGGUCCGCCAAGGAUUUAAAAACCUCCAAAGGGAAAAUUGGA
rnacentral:rRNA from 1 species